rnacentral:rRNA from 1 species
AUUGAACGCUGGCGGCAGGCCUAACACAUGCAAGUCGAACGGUAACAGGAAGCAGCUUGCUGCUUCGCUGACGAGUGGCGGACGGGUGAGUAAUGUCUGGGAAGCUGCCUGAUGGAGGGGGAUAACUACUGGAAACGGUAGCUAAUACCGCAUAAUGUCGCAAGACCAAAGAGGGGGACCUUCGGGCCUCUUGCCAUCGGAUGUGCCCAGAUGGAUUAGCUUGUUGGUGGGGUAACGGCUCACCAAGGCGACGAUCCCUAGCUGGUCUGAGAGGAUGACCAGCCACACUGGAACUGAGACACGGUCCAGACUCCUACGGGAGGCAGCAGUGGGGAAUAUUGCACAAUGGGCGCAAGCCUGAUGCAGCCAUGCCGCGUGUAUGAAGAAGGCCUUCGGGUUGUAAAGUACUUUCAGCGGGGAGGAAGGGAGUAAAGUUAAUACCUUGGCUCAUUGACGUUACCCGCAGAAGAAGCACCGGCUAACUCCGUG